rnacentral:lncRNA from 1 species
GCUCGGAAUUCCGACCAAACCCCAGAAAUUUCUUCGGCAGAUUCCUCCACACGCGCCGCCACGCGCCACCACAGCUGUCGGCGCGUCAGACCACGCGCCGGCGCGUGAAGCUGUUUCCGGCCAGUUUUUCACUUUGCUCCUUCAGGACAGUUUGGUCGGCUCUCAAUUCCGACCCUACCCAUCCUUUUUUCGUUCGAUUCCGACAACUUUCAAUUUUUUCCGGCGACUUNNN